UUGAUUGAUAGGAGAACGAUGGGAGGUGCCUAUAUAAAUGCAAGUCGAACGAACUUUGGUAUUGAUUGGUGAUUGGAUCAUGAUUUAGAUUUGAGUGAGUGGAGAACUGGUGAGUAACACGUGGGAAACAUGCCCAGAAGCGGGGGAUAACACUUGGACACAGAUGCUAAUACCGCAUAACAACUUGGACCGCAUGGUGCGAGUUUGAAAGAUGGCUUCGGCUAUCACUUUUGGAUGGUCGCGCGGAGUAUUAGAUAGAUGGUGGGGUAAGAGUAAGCAUAGAAUGAUACGUAGCCGAGCUGAGAGGGUAAUCGGCCAGAUUGGGAGUGAGAGACGGCCCAAAGUCUACGGGAGGCAGCAGUAGGGAAUCUUCGAAAAUGGACGAAAGUAUGAUGGAGCAAAGCCGCGUGAGUGAAGAAGGGUUUGGUGUGUUGUUGUUGGC
rnacentral:rRNA from 2 species